UGUUAAAAAUUUUAUUCAUUUGUAUUGCUAAAAAUUGAUGUGGCUUAUAAAAUAAUCAAAUAGUGACAUGUAGCGUGUCACGUGUACCUCAUGCUGACGUACAGAAAUCAACUUUUAACAUUACAAAUUGAUGAAAUUUUUAACA
rfam:Gossypium hirsutum cultivar TM-1 chromosome 25, whole genome shotgun sequence